UACGUAGGUGGCAAGCGUUGUCCGGAUUUACUGGGCGUAAGAGCGCGCAGGCGGUCGUCCAAGUCGCGUGUGAAAGCCCCCGGCUCAACUGGGGAGGGUCACGCGAUACUGGUCGACUCGAAGGCAGGAGAGGUAGUGGAAUUCCCGGUGUAGUGGUGAAAUGCGUAGAUAUCGGGAGGAACACCAGUGGCGAAGGCGACUACCUGGCCUGUUCUGACGCUGAGGCGCGAAAGCUAGGGGAGCAAACGGG
rnacentral:rRNA from 1 species